AACGAACGCUGGCGGCAUGCCUAACACAUGCAAGUCGAACGAGAUCUUCGGGUCUAGUGGCGCACGGGUGCGUAACGCGUGGGAAUCUGCCCUUUGGUUCGGAAUAACAGUUGGAAACGACUGCUAAUACCGGAUGAUGACGAAAGUCCAAAGAUUUAUCGCCAGAGGAUGAGCCCGCGUAGGAUUAGCUAGUUGGUGUGGUAAAGGCGCACCAAGGCGACGAUCCUUAGCUGGUCUGAGAGGAUGAUCAGCCACACUGGGACUGAGACACGGCGCAGACUCCUACGGGAGGCAGCAGUGGGGAAUAUUGGACAAUGGGCGAAAGCCUGAUCCAGCAAUGCCGCGUGAGUGAUGAAGGCCUUAGGGUUGUAAAGCUCUUUUACCCGGGAUGAUAAUGACAGUACCGGGAGAAUAAGCUCCGGCUAACUCCGUGCCAGCAGCCGCGGUAA
rnacentral:rRNA from 1 species